GACGAACGCUGGCGGCGUGCUUAACACAUGCAAGUCGAACGGAAAGGCCCUGCUUUUGUGGGGUGCUCGAGUGGCGAACGGGUGAGUAACACGUGAGUAACCUGCCCUUGACUUUGGGAUAACUUCAGGAAACUGGGGCUAAUCCCGGAUAGGAGCUCCUGCUGCAUGGUGGGGGUUGGAAAGUUUCGGCGGUUGGGGAUGGACUCGCGGCUUAUCAGCUUGUUGGUGGGGUAGUGGCUUACCAAGGCUUUGACGGGUAGCCGGCCUGAGAGGGUGACCGGCCACAUUGGGACUGAGAUACGGCCCAGACUCCUACGGGAGGCAGCAGUAGGGAAUAUUGCACAAUGGGCGGAAGCCUGAUGCAGCAACGCCGCGUGCGGGAUGACGGCCUUCGGGUUGUAAACCGCUUUCGCCUGUGACGAAGCGUGAGUGACGGUAAUGGGUAAAGAAGCACCGGCUAACUACGUG
rnacentral:rRNA from 1 species